AGUGGCGCACGGGUGCGUAACGCGUGGGAAUCUGCCCUUAGGUUCGGAAUAACAGUUAGAAAUGACUGCUAAUACCGGAUAAUGACGAAAGUCCAAAGAUUUAUCGCCUAGGGAUGAGCCCGCGUAGGAUUAGCUUGUUGGUGGGGUAAAAGCUCACCAAGGCGACGAUCCUUAGCUGGUCUGAGAGGAUGAUCAGCCACACUGGGACUGAGGCACGGCCCAGACUCCUACGGGAGGCAGCAGUGGGGAAUAUUGGACAAUGGGCGAAAGCCUGAUCCAGCAAUGCCGCGUGAGUGAUGAAGGCCUUAGGGUUGUAAAGCUCUUUUACCCGGGAUGAUAAUGACAGUACCGGGAGAAUAAGCUCCGGCUAACUCCGUGCCAGCAGCCGCGGUAAUACGGAGGGAGCUAGCGUUGUUCGGAAUUACUGGGCGUAAAGCGCACGUAGGCGGCUUUGUAAGUUAGAGGUGAAAGCCCGGAGCUCAACUCCGGAACUGCCUUUAAGACUGCAUCGCUUGAAUCCAGGAGAGGUGAGUGGAAUUCCGAGUGUAGAGGUGAAAUUCGUAGAUAUUCGGAAGAACACCAGUGGCGAAGGCGGCUCACUGGACUGGUAUUGAC
rnacentral:rRNA from 1 species